GGUAUUCAAGGCAUUGGGGAGCCAGUCACUGCAGGCCCGUUCAAUUCUAAUUUGAUGGUAAUAGAGUGCAUUGGGUACACUCCACUAAACUUCUGGUCAUGGUCGAAGUGGAUAGUUACUAAUGGGUUCGAUGAUCAUACUGACGCCGCCAUCACUAUUAAGGAUGUGAAGUUCUUUCUAAAGGAGCUGAAAACGAAAUGACACCUAUAUCAAUAUGUAGGCCCACCGAGCGGAGGCAUUUCGUCAUAAAUUUGUGACUAAAAUCAUUACUCUUGUUAAGAGUUCGAUGUGUUGAAUAUCAACUGUUCUUCUCCUUUUGCAUGCCAUGUAUAUUAAACUAAAUACAAGAGUUGCAUGGCCAUGCAUGAGUUCAAUGCAUUGCUACAUGUAAUCGGAUAUCUAGCGCAGGUUGCCACAAUUUUGGAAGAAUAGCUUCGCAAAUCUCGGCCAGAAUCGGAAGAGGCAGCAACGCUCUGGCAUCAGGUUGGGUCAAGGUUCCCUCUGGAUAUGCUUAGUAACGGG